rnacentral:tRNA from 2 species
GCGCCGUUAGUCCAGUCUGGUUAAGAUACUAGCCUGCCACGUUAGUGACCCGGGUUCAAGUCCCGGACGGCGCA